UCCGGUUUGUCACCGGCAGUCCCAUUAGAGUGCUCAACUAAAUGUGGCAACUAAUGGCAAGGGUUGCGCUCGUUGCGGGACUUAACCCAACAUCUCACGACACGAGCUGACGACAGCCAUGCAGCACCUGUGUUACGGCUCCCUUUCGGGCACCCUCACAUCUCUAUGAGGUUCCGUACAUGUCAAGGGUAGGUAAGGUGGGGAUGACGUUAGCCUAUCGAG
rnacentral:misc_RNA from 1 species